AAAAUAGUAACAAUGGGGGGGGUUCCUUUAUGGAACUGUUCAGCUAGAUCAGCUGACAGAGUUGUAUAGAUGAGAAAUAAUUAAUGCAAAGUUACAUAAAUAUUGGCUACUUUAAUAGUAUUCUCUAUUUUCAGAACUGACCCUGAAACUUUCUAGUUUGCUUGAUUAUCACAAUAGAAGCCUCUCAGUGGGAAUGCUUAGUGUUGUGUUAUUUUUACAAAUGAUUUUGAGAUUUUUGAAUACUUAGAUGUAAUCCUUUUGUUCUCUCCUACCUUUGCCCUCCUACCCUUAUUUUCCUUCCAUUAGGCCAGUAUAUUAGAUAGAAGAAUUCAGAGGGAAUUAAAGAGUUCUUUGCAAGAUUUUGCACAGAUGGUCCCCUCCUCCUUUACAGGAGCAAGAGUUACCUUCAGAGUGCUUGGAGGUGAUGGAGUUGGGCUUUCUUUCACCUUUCCUUGACUUAAUGCCAACUGUUUUCCUGACAGCACCUCUUGUUCCAGAAACAAAUGAUUGGUCUGUAUAGGACCACUUGCGUCAUAAGACAUCCUGAUUUUCGUACUGAAGUUUCUCCUUCUUACUGGAAUUCUGGUUGUUUAGAAUCUUUUCAAGUUAGUAUUUUGAUUAACAGAUGAAGCACAGCUUCAGGGAAAGAAAUUCUGUGCCAGCUAGUCCUUUUCUUCUCCUCCCUGAUGAGCUUCAAGCCAUGGAAGGUAAAAGAAGGCGAGAGUGGAGGAAAAAGACGUGCCUACUUCCCCUGCAUCUUUGCCAUGUUUGUAAGUUUCCUGAGGCCUCCGCAGCCAUGCUUCCUGUACAGCCUGCAGAACUGUGAGUCAGUCAAACCUCUUUUCUUUUUAAAUUACCCAGUAUUGACUGGGUACGAUGGCUCACACAUGUAAUCCCAGCACUUUGGGAGGCCAAAGUGGGCAGAUCACUUGAGGUCAGGAGUUCGAGACCAGCCUGGGCAACAUGGUAAAACCCCAUCUCUACUAAAAAAUGCAAAAAAAUUAGCCAGGCGUGGUGACACGUGCCUGUAGUCCCAGCUACUCGGGAGACUGAGGGAGGAGAAUCACUUGAACCUGGGAGGUGGAGGUUGCAGUGAGCUGAGAUUGCGCCACUGCAAUCCAGCCUGGGUGACGAGCGAGACUCUGUCUCAAAAAUAAAUAAAUAAAUAAGUUACCCAGUAUCGGGUAAUUCUCUUAUAGCAAUGUGAAAACAGACUAAUACAGGAACUUGACCCAACCUAGUAAUGCAUGGAAGGCUUUUUUCCCCCCUGAGGAUAAGUUAUCUUAACGGCAUCUCAAAAAAUGAAAGAAUGCAAUAAAAAUCAGGGAAGAACACCCCAGGCAGGGGAAACAGUAGAAAGGCAUAGAAACAGGCAAACAAGUUUAGGCAACUAUGGGUGUUUCUGUGUACUUUAGAAUAAAGCAAAGUAAGGAAGAAAGUAGCAUUAGAGGUCAGUAAAGACUUUAGAUAUUGUUCCUAUAUUCCAGGUGAGAGAUGCUAUAGGCCGGGACUGGGGAAGGUAUAGUAGGGAUGGUGAGAAAGAGAUCAUUUCUAGGAAAUUUAGAGGUAGAAUCAGUAGGAUUCAGUGAUUGGAUGUUGGGGAUGAGGGUAAAGAAGGGGCCUGGAAUUGCUCUUAGGUUUCUGCCUGGGUGAUUGGAUGUUAACUGAGAAUGAAUUUGAGAGGGAGGACCCAAUCUGUAGUGAACACAGUAUUGGACAUUUUGGCAUCCAGGUGCAGCACACAUUUAGAUAAAUAUAUCUAAAGCUUGAAGAGGGUUCAGAACUGGAGGCUUUUAAGGUUAGCUACCUAUAAAUGAUUGUUCAAACCAUGAGCACGAAUCAGAUCACUUAGGCAGCUUUUGAAGUGAAAUGAAAAUGGCAAAUAGAGAAACAGCAAAGUUUAAGCAGCAGGUAGAGGGUGUCUAGCAAUUGAGACUAAUCAUACCUUCUCAAAAGUGGGACAGCCAAAACAGUGGGGUCACGGAACUUGAGGAGACGAUUUUAUGUUCAAAAUGGACAACAGUAUCAAAUGCUCCAGUGCAGGUCAGUAAGAUAGGUACUAAAAUGCUGCUAGGAGAUGUGGCAAUUGGGUGAUCUUUGUUGCUUUGAGGAAAAAGGGAAGGAGAGAGAACAUAACUAGACAGGGACACAGGGUUUAGGAAAGGAUUUUGAUAAAAGUGAAAAAACUGAGCAUGUUCAUACAUUGAGAGAAUGGAGAUGGUAGGGGUGGUGAGAAUAAUGAUAGCGACUAACACUUAGUGAAAAUGUCCAGGCCUUCUUUAAAGGGCUUUGCAUCUGUUAACUCCUUUAAUUUUGAUAUCGGCCCUAUGAAUUAGAUACUAUUAUCACCCUUCUGCUAAUGAGGAGAGCUAGUCACAGAGAGAUUUUUACUUGCUGAAGAUGAGACAGCUAGUUAAAUAGCAUAACCAGGAUUUGAACCCUGGGAUUCUGACAAAAGAGCCUAGUUAUUUACCACUGUCCUAUAUUGCCUUGAUAGAAAGAUGGAGAUUGAAGAUGGGAAAGAGGAGUGAUAUUAAUGGGUCAAGAUUCCAAAAGAGACUAGAAGGAGUGUUGGUCUUGAAUAAGAGUAUUUUAUUCCAGCAGAUCAGAAACUGGGGGUAUAGAUAGAGAUGGUAAGUUUGGGGGUACAGUGGGCUGUUGUGAAGUUUAGGAAAUUAAUAUCUAAUAACAUCAAUUUUUUCCAUCAAAUAUUUAUUUAUGAAUUAACACCUUUUUAUUAUAAAAUAUAACGCAUACAUGGAAAACUGCUUGAAACAAAUGUAUAGGUUAAUCAUGAAUUUAUAAGAUGUAACCACUACUCAGGUACAGAAAAUAACAUUGUUAGACAAUCCAAAAGUGCUGCCUGUGCUCUACUCCAAUUGAAAUCUUUUUUCCUCUAAAUGUAACCACCAUCCUAACAUUUAUGGUAAUGACUUUUUUGCUUUUCGUAUAGUUUUAUCACCUGUGUGCAUUUCUAAACACCACAUUUCAGUUUUUUUUCUCCUUUGUCAUUUAAAUCUCUUAAUCUACAAAUUCCCCCUCAGUCUCUCCUUUUUCUUUGCCAUUAAUUUGUUGAAGAAACCAGGUUUUGAUCUAUUGAAUUUCCCACAGUCUGGAUUUUGCCAAUUGAAUCCCUAUGGUGAGGCUAUGUUCAUUUAUCUUUUGUAUUUCUCAUAAAUUGGUACUUGGAUCUAGAGCUGUGCUGUUCAAUAUGGUAGCUAUUGAGCACUCAAAAUGUGGCUAGUACAAAUUGAGAUGUGCUGUGUCAAAAUGCACAGUAAUUUUGAAGAUUCUUUACAAAAAAUAAUAUGAAAUAUCUCAUUAAGAGUUUUUUUUUUUUUGCCCCCUAGGAGACAGUCUUGCUUUGUCACCCAGACUGGAGUGUAGUUAUACAGUCGUAUCUCACUGUAACCUCAAACUUCUGGGCUCAAAUGAUUUUCCUGCCUUAGCCUCCUGAGUAGCUAGGACUAAAGGCACAUGUCACCAAUGCCCAGCUAAUUUUUUUAUUUUUCACAGAGGUGGGGUCUUACUGUAUUGCCCAAGCUGGUCUUGAACUUCUGGCCUCAAUCCCAAAGUGCUUGAGCCCAAAAAGAUUAUAGGCAUGAACCACUGCACCCUGCCCUUAAUAGUUUAUUGAUUGCAUUGAAAUAAUAUUUGAUAUAUUGGGUUACAUUUAUUAAAAAUAAUUUCCACCUUGUUAUUUUUACUAUUGAUAAUGCAGCUACUAGAAGAUUUAAAUAUAUGUGUGGCUGGCAUUGUAUUUCUGUUGGACAGCACUGAUCUAGAGACUUAACUCUGAUUUUAUUUAUUAUUGGUUUUUCCAAGACUGCUUCAUAAGUGGUUGUGUGUUCUCAUUAGGAGGCACGUAGAGUCUGGUUAUCCUCCUUAUUGUGAUGUCAUCAGUGACUGAUAUUUGAUGCCUAAAUACAUUAGAGCCUGCAGAAUGGUGAGUUCUAAUGUAAUCUUAUUCCUUAUUCAUUUAUUAGUAGAAAAUGCUACCAAGAGAAAUAUUUCUUUGUCUAUUAUCUGCUUAUCUAACAGUGCAAGUCACAUAGGAAAGGUAAGAUUAAUGAUAGAUUCUUUGCCUUUAUUAACUAGUUUUCAAUGAAUUUAAUGAAUUAUUUCCUUACCAAUCCAAAGGUGAUGAGUUAAUUUGGUAUUAUUAUGAAUUCAUAGAUUUAAAUAUAUUUGAUGUAUUACAAUGCAUUGCUAUUAUGAUGCUUAUUACUGCUAAAAUGGUUCCAUUUUUGUCCUGUCAGAGUCUUUUCAAAUUGCCCCGAGUCCUAUUGACACAACUCUAGUAAUCUUUGUAAGUUUGUAAUCUCUGUUUCAUCUGUAGUGAUAUCCCCUCUUUUGUUCCUGAUAUUGGCAAUUUGUAUCUUCUCUUUUUUUUUCUUGAUCAGUCUCUUUUUAUUUAUCUUUUCAAAAAAACUAGGAUUUUUUUGGUAUUGUUACUUUUAUUUUCUGAUUUCUACACUUCUGCUUGCUUUGUGCUUAGAUUCUUAAACUGAAAGAUUAGAUUAUUGGUUUGAGAACUUUCUUUUCUAAUAUAAACAUUUAAUGUUGAAAAUUUCUAUUCCAUACAUUUUGACAUGUUGUGUUCCAUACAUUUUGACAUGUUGUAUUUUCUUUCCUUUUUUUUUUUUUUUUUUUUUUUUUGAAACGGAGUCUUGCUCUGUCACCCGGGCUGGAGUGCAGUGGUGUGAUCUCGGC
rnacentral:lncRNA from 10 species